rnacentral:lncRNA from 1 species
GUUCUUGCAUGUUCCUCAGUUGCUUGUAGGAAUUACCCUAGUGGUUUGGUUGAUUGUGCUCCAUAAGAUCGCAACGAUCAUUGGAGGUGGUGUAUCGGUUGCUAAGGUGCAGCAUCCUUGGAUGGUUGUAGUCGGGCCGUGAAUGUCAUCUCCAUCCCCAAAUUGAGUUAUCCCCGUUCUCUCAUUGAAAGAUCGGGAAUCAACCCUAGCGGGUUCAUAUCAGUUGGUAAUCAGAGUAGGGUUGAUCGGUGAGAGACUUCUAGUUCUUUGCUUUUUUUAAUCUCCUAUAGUCCAGAAAAGACAAAAAAAUAGUAGAUUAGUUUCUCUUAAUCCCAAAAACCCUUUGAGCUUGAUACUAUUACUGCUUAGUUGGACUUAUUGAAUUAAC